ensembl:lncRNA
ACUGGGCACUGACCUGUGAGUGGUGGUUCAUGGGCAAAUGAGUGGAAACGUUAUUAUCCCUUGUCCAGAGGAAACUGGGCAGUACCAGAAGCACCACCUGUGGCACCCAGAGCUGCUCAGAGGAAGGUCUGAAAAUCACAAACCUCAGACUAACCCCUUCAUUUGAGAAACUGGGGCCCAGAGGGCUGAAGUGACUUUUGCAGUGUCAUGAAAUUGUCAACCAAAGGACUGAAUCCCAGCGCACUGUGCUUUCAGCUGUUUUACCCUAUAUUCCUGAAGGAUGAGUUCUAUAGAAUAGAUUAGCUCCUAUCAGUGGGUAGCCCUCUAGGGAGAGAACUGUCAGAGGGUUUUGUUCACGCCUUGUUUCAAAUGCUGCUGCUCCUUCAGGACUGUGGACAUGGAGACCUGCUUCCUAAGACUUCCCUCCCCACUUGGCAAUCAUCUUGAAUUUGUAUUAGAAGUAAGGAAAUGGGACUGCUUUCUCCAAAUAUUUAUAAUGACUUUAUUGCUCUGAAUUGCCACACAUCAGAGAGAACUUUUAACCAUUAGGGGUCUUGACUUCCUAUUUGUGAAAAGUGGAGUGACUCUGAUCAAGAAGGCUCAACUCCUUUUGGUUGGAGAUCACAGGAAUGGCAUCAUGUCAUGAUGGCCAUAGGGGAGCUACACCAGCUGUACUGUCCCCAGUGGAAAGAGCCAGGACCCAGGACAGGCAGUGACAGCUUCCCAGAGCACAAAUACUGUUGACUUGGGAGGUACCACUGGCAAAGUGGCCUGUGAAGAUCACCUUGUCGUAGCCUUGGUUCCUUGCCCUCCAGAGAGCUGACACCCCUUCACUGGGCUGGAUGAGCAGGAGAGACAGAGACACCUGGCCCUCCCGGAACAGAGUGAAGCUGACAAGGUACCCCCUGUCGAAGACCCACUAAGAUACACUUCCUCCAGUGCUGUAGGUGUGGCCUAUUCCCAUUAUGAGGAUCCCAGUCAGGCUCAGCAAUGGCAACACCAGAUUUGCUUCUGGAGUUCCAGCUCGAUCUUCUAGAUGAAGCUGGGACGAUGAAUGGAAAAGAUACAAAGUGAAAAGUUGAGUCACAUGGAGGGGAUCCUCUUGGACCACCCUUAUCCUGGCUUCUUUUCCACCUGCCUCUAGGAAGCUUAAGCUUCUAGCUUUCCUAAACAAGGAUGGUGUCUACAUUUGUGAACCAGAGAGGAACUCUGCAUGAAGUCUUGAAAGGUGAGUCUUCAUUAGCCAGGAGACAAAGGCAUAUUGGGAAGGAGCGCCUACCAGGCAGAAGGGAAAGCAUGUGCAAAGCGUGAAGAUAGGAAAUCAAGUUCUGUUUGGAACUAAUGGUGGUACAGGUGGCUCAGGUGUAUGUGAAAAGGCAGGAGAUGAAGCUGGAAAGAAGACCCUCUGCACCACACUUUCAGGGUAAAAUCCACUCUCCUUAGUAUGGCAAUUAAGACUCUUCAACCCUCAGGAUUUCCAGAUUGAAAGGCCUUCCUCCCACACAGAUAAAGACACACCCUUAAGCCCCUCAUGAACUUGGAAUAAGACAGAUCUAGGUUUAAAUACAUGCUCUGCAACAUACAACCUACUUGAUCUUGGGAAAGUUGUUUAAAAUCUCUGGACCCCAAUUUUCCUAUCUCUAAAAUGGGAAUUAAGUACAUUUACCUCAAAGAGAUGAUGUGAGGACUUAGUUAUGAGAAAUACAAUAUAGAAGCAACGCUGAGUAGUUAUGCUGCAAGUCACAUGGGAAGUCUUUAAAAAAUAAAUGCAUUUAUAUAUUAAAAACAAACAAACAAAAAAACCCAGACCAAAACCGCAUGUCACUGGGGGAAGGACAGUGAACCCUUCCCAGAGCAUGUGUGAAGACUGACUCUGGCUGGAAAAACGGAGAAGAAAGAAUGCUGUAUACUCCUGUAGGGACAGCAGAAGACUUCCUGGACUCAGAGGAUUAGAGAUUUCCUAACACUCGAGUGAGGGGCAGGAUCACUGCCAACCCCUGCCCAAACCAGGGGUACAGAGCCUGCCUAUGAUCAAGGCUGAGCCAGAAUAACAGAGAGUACAUUUCUUCUCCCCACCAGACUGGGUACUGUCAAGGGAAAGGCAACCACGUUAAGCCAGGAGAGGCGACAAGGCCAUGCAGAGAGACUCUGAGACCCAAGCAUACAGGGAAGGGUGAAAGUGAGGGUGAAAUAGGAACACGGAGAAGAGUCCUCUGUCUAAACAAUACCCACCUUAAGCACGGAAUAACUCUGAAGAAAUUUGAGGCCAAUGGUGAAUUCAGAGUCACCGUAGCAACAAAAAACCCAAACCCAGCUCAAUAACUGACUUUACUGGGUGAACCACCCCUGUCCCCAACCCUGGCCUCCAGCACACAGGAAUGGCCUAGGAGAAGAGGUGUCUCAUUUCUAUGCAUAAGUUCUAUUUGUUUGAGUCUAUACUCUUUUAAACUUUGUGCCUGACAAUAAAUAAAAAAUUAUGAGACAAACACAAAAAAGCAAGAAAAAACAAUCCAUGAUAAAGAGCAAAGUGAACCAUAGAAUCAGACUCAGAGAUAACCCAGAUAUUGGAAUGAUUACAGACAGGGACAGUUAGAGACAUGUGGUAUGUCUUUGAUGGGUCUGGGAUGGUUAAUUUUAUGUGUUAAGUUGACUGGGCUAAAGGGGCCCAGAUAACUGGUAAAUCAUCAUUUCUAUGUAUGUCUUUGAAGGUGUUUCCAGAGAGAAAACUGAUUCAAGAUAGGCUGAGUGAAUAUGGCCCUCACCCCUAACCAGUGUAGGUGGGCAUAAUCUAAUCCACUGAGGACUGCAAGAGGAUGAAAAAAUGGAGGGAGGCUGACUUUGGUCUCUGCUUGAGCUGGGACUCCUGUCUUCCUCAGGCAUCAGCGUUUCCCGUUCUCAGGCCUUUGGUCUUGGACCAGGAUGUUCGUGAAUCUCUCUCUCCAGACUCAGUAAUAGGAAAAUAAACAACCCAAUUAAAAAUGGGCAAAGUUUAAACAUUUCUCCAAAGAAGAUAUUCAGACCUCAAAUGUACGUAUAAAAAGAUGCUCAACAUCCUCAGAUAGUAGGAAAAUUAAAAGUCUAAUGAGGUAACACUAUACAGCUAUUAGAAUUCCUAAAAGAAUAUGACAGUUAUCAAGUGCUGACAAAAAAGUGGAGCAACUAAAACUUGCGUGUAUCGCUGAGAGAGGAUAAAAUAUGGUGCAGACACGUGUUUGGAAAUUUCUUAUAAUGUUAAAAUAGAUUUAUUGUACUACCCAGCAUGAUCGCCACCCAAGAGAAACGAAAACUCAACGUUACACAAAAACCUGUAUGUGAAUAUAUAGAGAAGGUUUAUUCACAACUGCCAAAAACUGGAAGUAAGUCAAAUGUCUUUAAUUUCUAUGGAAACAAACUGGGAUACAUCCAGGUAAUGGAAUACUACUCAGCAAUAAAAAGGAACAAACUUCUGAUAGACACACAAUGUAUGAAUCUAAAAUGUAUUAUGGUAAGCAAAAGAACCUACACUACAAAGGCUUAUAUGACAUUCUGGAAAAAGCAAAACCAUAGGGAAGAGAAUUGAUUAAGGGGUUGGGGCAAAGAUUGACCACGAAGAGACAUGAGAUAAUGUUUUGGGUGAUAGAACUGUUCUACAUCUUGAGUGUGGUAAUGGUCACAUUAUUGUCAAAAGUCACAAAACUGUAGAUUAAAAGCGGUGAAUUUACUGUAUAUAUAUUGUACCUCAAUAAAUUUAAUU